rnacentral:tRNA from 1 species
CGGGAUAUAGCUCAGUUUGGUAGAGUGCCUGCUUUGGGAGCAGGAUGUCAUAGGUUCAAAUCCUAUUAUCCCGA